rnacentral:rRNA from 1 species
CGUGCAGGCGGUCACCGCAAGUUGAAUGUGAAAUCCCCGGGCUUAACCCGGGAAGUGCGUUCAAGACUGCGGGGCUUGAAUACGGGAGAGGAUCGUGGAAUUCCUGGUGUAGAGGUGAAAUUCGUAGAUAUCAGGAGGAACACUCGUGGCGAAGGCGACGGUCUGGACCGAUAUUGACGCUGAGACGCGAAAGCGUGGGUAGCAAACA